AUUGAACGCUGGCGGCAUGCCUUACACAUGCAAGUCGAACGGUAACGGGCCUUCGGGUGCCGACGAGUGGCGAACGGGUGAGUAAUACAUCGGAACGUGCCCGAUCGUGGGGGAUAACGAGGCGAAAGCUUUGCUAAUACCGCAAACGAUCUACGGAUGAAAGAGGGGGACCGCAAGGCCUUGCGCGGACGGAGCGGCCGAUGGCAGAUUGGGUAGUUGGUGGGAUAAAAGCUUACCAAGCCGACGAUCUGUAGCUGGUCUGAGAGGAUGAUCAGCCACACUGGGACUGAGACACGGCCCAGACUCCUACGGGAGGCAGCAGUGGGGAAUUUUGGACAAUGGGCGCAAGCCUGAUCCAGCCAUGCCGCGUGCAGGAUGAAGGCCUUCGGGUUGUAAACUGCUUUUGUACGGAACGAAAAGCCUUCUUUUAAUACAGGAGGGUCAUGACGGUACCGUAAGAAUAAGCACCGGCUAACUACGUG
rnacentral:rRNA from 1 species